AUGCUGAGAAUUAGGGUUUUACACUUCUUUAUAUCUCUUCCAGACUCCUGCAAAUUUGGCAAGGCAGCUGUCACCUUGAACCCUUAUUCCAGACCUCUCGAGAAGCCCAAGGUGUUGAAUAAGAAUUGCAAGCCUCAGAGAGAAGAGAAAAUGAGGGCUGCUUCACACAGUGGACAACAACCAGUCUUUACUCAGCAAGCAUCAACGCUGCCAGUCUCUGUGACUCAGCGACGGAAAGAAAGAGUUCCUGCUUCUCUGAGAGCUCCUCGUCCAAUGAUUUGGGAAGCACUUGUUUAGGACAUGGGUGAAGAGAAGAGUUUUGAGCAGAAGAAAGUGUGCUACUUCUUUUGGGACAGCUAAGAAGAUUUCAGGAUGGAUGUGGAUGCAGGUAAGUUUACUGGUUUAAGCAAGAUUAGCUUCUGGACAUAUCAUCUGAUAAGACGAGUGGGGAAAAUGUGUGCCUCAUCUAGAAAUCUGGCUUCAGAGCUUGAAAGAAAUUCUUUGAGGGUAAUUGUGACUGACAUACCUCCAAAAGUGCCCUGGCCUCUUGUCCCAGGAGCAGGGAGUUCUUAAACCAAAAAAAUGAGGUGUGUGUAAGUUGGAGACUAAAUGAUCCAUAAAUGCCAUAAAUGCUGGAUCAGAUAGGGUCUAUGCAGAGUGGCCAAGUGGAGGCACUCAGGAUGAACCAGUGGUCAUAGAGCCAGCUAUCACUGGAAAGCAGCAAGACCUUUUCUGGAGUUAUGGCAAAGAAUGGAGACGGACUCAAGACCUCUACUUCUCCACUAGAUGGUCUGUGCAAGGAGAACUGUGGGAGUGUGGUAGAGAGAGGUUUGAGUAGUGGGAGACUGAUAGGAAACAUACCUACCAGUGAUAAACCCACGAUUCUGUCGCCCUUUUCUGUGCUAUAUCUCUACUUGAAUCCCAUUUUUUUUUCCUACACUCUUACCCACAUACUCCCAUCUAUCUAACAAGCUUGAGCUCCUCCUUUAAGUACCAUCUCAAGAAUCAUUUUCAGGAGUCAUCUUCUGUGAGAACUUCCCCUGGCUUCUGGAGAUUGGUGAGUUUUUCCUUUGUGUGUCCAAUGGAUCGUGUUUAUACCUGCCAUUGUUGUGUAUACCAAAUUGCACCACCCCCCCACUAGCUUAGAAUGUUAAAUUCUCAAUAAGUAACCAUGAAUUAAUAAAGUAAUAAACUGAGUGAUUAGGGGAACCAAAUGAUUCUGUGACUAUCAGCUAAGCCUUUGAUUGUCCAUACUUAACCAAGGAUGGCCUGGAAAAGAAGGGCUAUAGAGGUAAGCACAGUAGCUGCAUGGAUAGUCUAGAGCAGUCUACACCCGUUCACCACCAAUGUACCAGGAAGUCAAGGAACAUAAAAGUCAACAAAUACAAUUCUAUCCUAGGCAAUUUAAAAGCGAUGAUUGAAAUGUUCCUAAAGCCUAGUGUGAUAAGCUUUGCCCUGAGUGGAAUAACCAAAGAACACUGAGUUUCAAGAUAAUUAUGGCUCCUGUUUUCUAGAUACCAAUAAAACACAAAAUCCUGAGUGAGAAAGGGACUUUUUUUAAAGAUAGAAAGCAAGAGAUGUCUGAUUAGCUGAGUAUCAUCUUUCAGUAAUCUCCCAUCGUAUCAUCUAGCCUUAUUCUGCUUGAGUAUUCAGCACAUCUAUGUAUACUUCUGUUCAAUUAUAAUUAGCUUACAUGUGAUAUAUGUUCAUGUCCCAUCACUAUUAUAUAUUGUAUAUAUGUGUAAUCUCCCCAGAGUAUCUUGGUCAUUGCAUUUCACACAACAGAUGUGAAAUCAUAGAAUGGUAGGAAGCAUAUAACCAAAAUUCUCAUUUUGCCAAAGAGAAAACUGAGCCCUAGGAACGUUAUACAAACUUGCCUGUAUUACACAUUCAUUCAAACAAUGGAAGAGUCAUCAAAUUCAUUCAACAAAUAUUUCGGUGACUGUGCAAAAACAUAAAAAAUGUUGACUAUGAAGAUGAAUACUACACACCCUAAUAUCAGGACUUUGACAAUCUUCUUAGGAACAGACACAUAAACAGCAGUACACUGCCAGUGGAGUGUAUACUUUGGUUUAAAUCUUUGGAGAAGAGUUUGACAAUGUAUAAUUUUUUAAAAAUGACCUUGGUUCUUCAAAUCCACUCCCAAGAAUUAAUCCAGUGGAAAUAAAUGGAUUUAAGCAAAGAUUUAGCUAUAAACUAUUCUCCUUUUUUCUUUUUAAAGAAGAAUAUUGCUUGAUUUCAGAAUAAUUUAUGAUAUGUAAAAUCCUUUGUAAUCAUUAAAAUAUGCAUUGAGGAAGAAUAUUAACAUGAAAAGAUGAUCCUAACAGAUUGUUGAAAAGGUAAGAAGGUAGAUACCAUUUGCAGUUUGUAUAUCAUGAACCCAUAAAUGAAAAGUAUAUCUUUAUUUAUGUCUGCAAAGAAGACUUUCAAAAGUAUUAAUGGUAGUCAUCUCAAAAUGGUAAAUUACAGAUACUGUUCUUUUUUUCCCCUUUUGGCUGUAUUUCCUAAAUGUUUUACAAUGAAUUCACAUUUGCUUUAAAAGAAAAUUCUUUCUUACAAAAAUAAACUGUGUCUGGAUAUCAAAACAGCAUUGAGUUCCUGAAUAUCUGGAUCUACCCAUGUAGGAGCAGAAGACUAGAAGGGUUGAGUCCAUACAGACUGACUCAUUCAUCAGUGACCCACUGAACAUGAGCAGUUCUUAUUUUCUACUGAAUUGUCCAAAUUGAGCAGGAUAUGUAAAUACUUUUUUGAAAAAUUUUAUGGAGGAGAACCUAGAACAAAUUUUUUUCUAUAAAUCUUGGUAAAGAAGAAACUAGAAACAAGUAAACACAUCAAAGUCAAAACUGCUUUCAAAAAAUGACCCGAGCAUGUGAGAGCACAGCCCUGCUCAUUCUCUUGUGCCAAAGUUAUUGACAAUCCUUCUGGUGA
ensembl:lncRNA